rnacentral:rRNA from 1 species
GCGGAGGAUCAUUACCGAGUGCGGGCCCCUCGGGGCCCAACCUCCCACCCGUGUUGCCCGAACCUAUGUUGCCUCGGCGGGCCCCGCGCCCGCCGACGGCCCCCCUGAACGCUGUCUGAAGUUGCAGUCUGAGACCUAUAACGAAAUUAGUUAAAACUUUCAACAACGGAUCUCUUGGUUCCGGCAUCGAUGAAGAACGCAGCGAAAUGCGAUAACUAAUGUGAAUUGCAGAAUUCAGUGAAUCAUCGAGUCUUUGAACGCACAUUGCGCCCUCUGGUAUUCCGGAGGGCAUGCCUGUCCGAGCGUCAUUGCUGCCCUCAAGCCCGGCUUGUGUGUUGGGCCCCGUCCCCCCCGCCGGGGGGACGGGCCCGAAAGGCAGCGGCGGCACCGCGUCCGGUCCUCGAGCGUAUGGGGCUUCGUCACCCGCUCUAGUAGGCCCGGCCGGCGCCAGCCGACCCCCAACCUUUAAUUAUCUCAGGUUGACCUCGGAUCAGGUAGGGAUACCCGCUGAACUUAAGCAUAUCAAUAAGCGGAGGA